rnacentral:rRNA from 1 species
AGUGAACGCUGGCGGCGUGCUUAACACAUGCAAGUCGAGCGAAGUGGCAGCUGUAGCAAUACAGUAUGUGCUUAGCGGCAGACGGGUGAGUAACACGUAGACAAUCUACCUCUUAGAGGGGGAUAGCCCGCCGAAAGGCGGGGUAAUACCGCGUACGAUUAUGAUCUGGCAUCGGAUUAUAAUGAAACAUCCGCAAGGAUGGCUAAGAGAGGGGUCGCGGCCUAUCAGCUUGUUGGCGGGGUAACGGCCCACCAAGGCAACGACGGGUAUCCGACCUGAAAGGGUGACCGGACACACUGACACUGAGACACGGGUCAGACUCCUACGGGAGGCAGCAGUGAGGAAUUUUGGACAAUGGGGCAACCCUGAUCCAGCGACGCCGCGUGAAGGAUGAAGGUCUU